UGCUCGCGCAUUCGUCUUCGUCUUCUAGAGCUGGCUGCGAUGCCGCUCAUCAUGCCAGCGUUCCGACUCUGUCCCGCCCUCUGCGAAGGCACUGACGGCUCUGGUUCACUGCCAGUCGGUGCGGUGAUUUCGCCCAGUGUUUGAAGUAUUAUCCGGAUGCAGAACCCGAAGACGCCAGAUCAGUGGGCUUACCAAGGUGGCCACUGGACAACGGCGCCGAGGGCCAUCGAUUCAGUGGAGGUGAAAUUGCGUGCUCAUUGACGGCCGAAGCCAGCACUCAAGCAUCUUCGAGGUCGUUAUUUGAUCCAAAAGCGAAGCCGGCAUUGUCAUGUAUGAGCCUCUUCUUCUCCCAACUGCCUUCUUUGAUCUCCUCUGCAACGCGAAUCAACUUAGGAGCCGAUGAAAGCGGUGGAGGUUAUAUCGAUCUUCAUGUCAUAAUCCAUCUAGACAUUCCACCAACUAAAGUUACUGCCGCAAACCUAAAGAGGCCGACAUUGUCAUGUAUGAGCGUCUACUUCCCGAAAAAGGCUUAUUUGAGGUCUUCUGCAAUGCGAAUAGACAAAGCAUCGAUGAAACGGACGGAGGGUACAUCGACCUUCUUGUCAUAAUCCAUCCAGACAUUCCACCAACUGAAGUUACCGGCAAUAACGAAAAUCCUACAGUUUCGUAUGCACGAAUGGGCACAUUACCGCUACGGUGUCUUUUACGAGUACGGUAAACGGGGAUGCUCAAUUUUCGGAGAUCUACUCCUCUGGGGGCACGAGGACAACAUUGUCAUGUAUGAGCGUCUACUUCCAGAAAACGCCUUAUUUGAUGUCUUCUGCAACGCGAAUAGGCUAAAAAUCGAUGAAACGGAUGGAGGGUACGUUGACCUUCUUGUCAUAAUCCAUCCAGACAUUCCACGAACUGAAGUUACCGGCAAUAACGUAAAUAGGACAACAUUGUCAUGUAUGAACGUCUACUUCCAGAAAACGCCUUAUUUGAUGUCUUCCUCAACGCGAAUAGACCAAAAAUCGAUGAAACGGAUGGAGGGUACGUUGACCUUCUUGUCCUAAUCCAUCCAGACAUUCCACCAACUGAAGUUACCGGCAAUAACGUAAAUAGGCCCACAUUGUCAUGUACGAGCGUCUACUUCCCACAACAGCCUUCUUUGACGUAUUCUAAGACUAAGAAUCGAUCAAACGGACGGAGGGUACAUCGACCUUCUUGUCAUAUUCCAUCCAGACAUUCCACCAGCUGAAGUUUCCGGCAAUAACCUAAACCCUACACUUUUGUAUGCAUGAAUGGUCGCAUUUUCGGUAGGGUGUCUUCUACGAGUACGGUAAACGGGGAGACUCAAUUUCCGGAGAUCUACUCAUCUGUGGACACGCUUACACUUUCGUAUACAUGAAUGGUCACUUUUCCGUUACGGUGUGUUUUCCGAGUACGGUAAACGGGGAGACUCAAUUUCCGGACGCCUACUCCUCGGGAUGCACAACCUGCUCUUUGGUAUGCAUUAAUGGGCCCGUUUCCGCUACGGUGUGUUUUACGAGUACGGAAAACGGGGAGACUCAAUUUCCGGAGACCCAUUCCUGGGGGGCACGCCUACACCUUCGUAUGCAUGAAUGGGCCCAUUACCGCUACGGUGUCUUUUACGAGUGCGGUAAACGGGGAGACUCAAUUUUCGGAUAUCUACUCCUCUGGAGGCACGAGGCCGACAUUGUCAUGUAUGAGCGUCUACUUCCCGAAAAAGCCUUAUUUGAAGUCUUCUGCAACGCGAAUAGACUAAAAAUCGAUGAAACGGAUGGAGGGUACGUUGACCUUCUUGUCAUAAUCCAUCCAGACAUUCCACCAACUGAAGUUACCGGCAAUAACGUAAAUAGGCCAACAUUGUCAUGUACGAGCGUCUACUUCCCACAACAGCCUUCUUUGACGUCUUCUGCAACGCGAAUAGACUAAGAAUCGAUCAAACGGACGGAGGGUACAUCGACCUUCUUGUCAUAUUCCAUCCAGACAUCCCACCAGCUGAAGUUUCCGGCAAUAACCUAAACCCUACAGUUUCGUAUGCAUGAAUGGGCGCAUUUUCGGUACGGGGUCUUCUACGAGUACGGUAAACGGGGAGACUCAAUUUCCGGAGAUCUACUCAUCUGUGGACACGCUUACACUUUCGUAUACAUGAAUGGUCCCAUUUCCGUUAUGGGGUGUUUUACGAGUACGGUAAACGGAGAGACUCAAUUUCCGGACGGCUACUCCUCGGGAUGCACAACCUGCUCUUUCGUAUGCAUGAAUGGGCCCGUUUCCGCUACGGUGUGUUUAAGAGUACGGAAAACGGGGAGACUCAAUUUCCGGAGACCCAUUCCUCGGGGGCCACGAGGACAACAUUGUCAUGUAUGAGCGUCUACUUCCAGAAAACGCCUUAUUUGAUGUCUUCUGCAACGCGAAUAGACUACAAAUCGAUGAAACGGAUGGAGGGUAUGUUGACCUUCUUGUCAUAAUCCAUCCAGACAUUCCACCAACUGAAGUUACCGGCAAUAACGUAAAUCCUACACUUUCGUAUGCACGAAUGGGCCCAUUUUCGGUACGGUGUCUUCGACGAAUACGGUAAACGGGGAGACUCAAUUUCCGGAGACCUACUUAUCUGUGGGCACGCCUGCACUUUCGUAUGCAUGAAUGGGCCCGUUUCCGCUACGGCGUGUUUUACGAGUACGGAAAACGGGGAGACUCAAUUUCCGGAGACCUAUUCCUCGGGGGUCAUGCCUACACUUUCGUAUGCACGAAUGGGCCCAUUUUCGGUACGGUGUUUUCGACGAAUACGGUAAACGGGGAGACUCAAUUUCCGGAGACCUUCUCAUCUGUGGGCACGCUUACACUUUCGUAUACAUGAAUGGUCACAUUUCCGUUAUGGGGUGUUUUACGAGUACGGUAAACGGGGAGACUCAAUUUCCGGACACCUACUCCUCGGGAUGCACAACCUGCACUUUCGUAUGCAUGAAUGGGCACAUUUUCGAUACGGUGUGUUUUACGAGUACAGUAAACGGGGAGACUCAAUUUCCGGACGCCUACUCCUCGGAAUGCACGCCUGCACUUUCGUAUGCAUGAAUGGGCACAUUUUCGAUACGGUGUGUUUUACGAGUACGGUAAACGGGGAGACUCAAUUUCCGGACGCCUACUCCUCGGGGGGCACGGUGAAACUGAAUGCUUGUUCAAAACCCUGGUUUUCACCGCUUUAAGAAAAGACUGUUCGGCAAGCGACAUGGAUGUCGAAUGUGACUAUCACGAAGAGGGGAUCGUGUCGCCCUACAUUGGCUCUAAAAGGGCAGCAGAAAGGUGUAUCAUGCUCAUGCCGUAUUCAAUAAACGCAAGAAUGCCUGGUC